rnacentral:rRNA from 1 species
UACGUAGGGUGCAAGCGUUGUCCGGAAUUAUUGGGCGUAAAGAGCUCGUAGGCGGUCCGUCACGUCGGCUGUGAAAACCUGGGGCUCAACCCCGGGCCUGCAGCCGAUACGGGCGGACUAGAAUUCGGUAGGGGAGACUGGAAUUCCUGGUGUAGCGGUGAAAUGCGCAGAUAUCAGGAGGAACACCAGUGGCGAAGGCGGGUCUCUGGGCCGAUAUUGACGCUGAGGAGCGAAAGCGUGGGGAGCGAACAGG